AGGGGUGUAGAUUAGUGGUUAGAAGCUUGCCUCACAAGCAUAAUGCUCUUGGGUUUGAUCCCCAGAAUCACUA
rnacentral:tRNA from 1 species